CAGUCGCCACGGGAAUACGUAGGUGGCGAGCGUUGUCCGGAAUUAUUGGGCGUAAAGGGAGCGCAGGCGGACAUAUAAGUCCAUCUUAAAAGUGCGGGCUCAACCCCGUGAGGGGAUGGAAACUGUAUGCCUUGAGUGCAGGAGAGGAAAGCGGAAUUCCCAGUGUAGCGGUGAAAUGCGUAGAUAUUGGGAGGAACACCAGUGGCGAAGGCGGCUUUCUGGACUGUAACUGACGCUGAGGCUCGAAAGCCAGGGGAGCGAACGGGAUUAGAUACCCCCGUAGUCCCUGUCUCUUAUACAC
rnacentral:rRNA from 1 species